rnacentral:tRNA from 1 species
GGCCCCGUAGCUCAGCGGAUAGAGCGGCUGCCUCCUAAGCAGCAGGUCGAGGGUUCGAGUCCCGCCGGGGUCG